GACGAACGCUGGCGGCGUGCUUAACACAUGCAAGUCGAACGGAAAGGCCCUGCUUUUGUGGGGUGCUCGAGUGGCGAACGGGUGAGUAACACGUGAGUAACCUGCCCUUGACUUUGGGAUAACUUCAGGAAACUGGGGCUAAUACCGGAUAGGAGCUCCUGCUGCAUGGUGGGGGUUGGAAAGUUUGGGCGGUUGGGGAUGGACUCGCGGCUUAUCAGCUUGUUGGUGGGGUAGUGGCUUACCAAGGCUUUGACGGGUAGCCGGCCUGGGAGGGUGACCGGCCACAUUGGGACUGAGAUACGGCCCAGACUCCUACGGGUGGCAGCAGUGGGGAAUAUUGCACAAUGGGCGGAAGCCUGAUGCAGCAACGCCGCGUGCGGGAUGACGGCCUUCGGGUUGUAAACCGCUUUCGCCUGUGACGAAGCGUGAGUGACGGUAAUGGGUAAAGAAGCACCGGCUAACUACGUG
rnacentral:rRNA from 1 species